rnacentral:rRNA from 1 species
GUAACACCGGCAGCCCGAGUGGUGAUCACUAUUAUUGGGUCUAAAGGGUCCGUAGCCGGUUUAAUCAGUCUUCUGGGAAAUCUAAUCGCUUAACUAUUAGGCUUCCAGGGGAUACUGUUAGACUUGGGACCGGGAGAGGUAAGAGGUACUGCAGGGGUAGGAGUGAAAUCUUGUAAUCCCUGUGAGACCACCAGUGGCGAAGGCGUCUUACCAGAACGGGUCCGACGGUGAGGGACGAAAGCUGGGGGCACGAACCGGAUUAGAUACCCGGGUAGUCCCAGCUGUAAACGAUGCUCGUUAGGUGUCAGGAACGGUGCGACUGUUUCUGGUGCCGAAGGGAAGCCGUGAAACGAGCCACCUGGGAAGUACGGCCGCAAGGCUGAAACUUAAAGGAAUUGGCGGGGGAGCACUACAACGGGUGGAGCCUGCGGUUUAAUUGGACUCAACGCCGGAAAACUCACCGGGGGCGACAGCAAUAUGUAGGUCAGGUUAAAGGUCUUACCUGAAUCGCUGAGAGGAGGUGCAUGGCCGUCGUCAGUUCGUACUGUGAAGCAUCCUGUUAAGUCAGACAACGAGCAAGACCCGUGCCCACUGUUACCAGCAUAUCCUUUAUGGAUGAUGGGGACUCUGUGGGGACCGCUGCUGCUAAAGCAGAGGAAGGUGCGGGCUACGGUAGGUCAGUAUGCCCCGAAUCUCCCGGGCUACACGCGGGCUACAAUGGUUGGGACAAUGGGUAUCUACUCCGAAAGGAGUUGGCAAUCUCUUAAACCCAAUCGUAGUUCGAAUUGAGGGCUGUAACUCGCCCUCAUGAAGCUGGAAUCCGUAGUAAUCGCGUUUCAACAUAGCGCGGU